GUCGAACGCCCCGCAAGGGGAGUGGCAGACGGGUGAGUAACGCGUGGGAAUCUACCGUGCCCUGCGGAAUAGCUCCGGGAAACUGGAAUUAAUACCGCAUACGCCCUACGGGGGAAAGAUUUAUCGGGGUAUGAUGAGCCCGCGUUGGAUUAGCUAGUUGGUGGGGUAAAGGCCUACCAAGGCGACGAUCCAUAGCUGGUCUGAGAGGAUGAUCAGCCACAUUGGGACUGAGACACGGCCCAAACUCCUACGGGAGGCAGCAGUGGGGAAUAUUGGACAAUGGGCGCAAGCCUGAUCCAGCCAUGCCGCGUGAGUGAUGAAGGCCUUAGGGUUGUAAAGCUCUUUCACCGGAGAAGAUAAUGACGGUAUCCGGAGAAGAAGCCCCGGCUAACU
rnacentral:rRNA from 1 species